rnacentral:telomerase_RNA from 1 species
AUGUAGGCGGCUUUUUGAACGUCUUUGUCCGCGUCUGCCCUCCAUUUUUGAGGAGAGGAAUCAAAGUCUAGUUUAAGUUGGCAGUGCAACACACACAGAAAGUUCUUGGCAGACCGAGUCGAGCGCUGGCGGAUGGUGUGGCGAGGUCUUAGUUUGAAGUUGCCCGCCAUAUACAUCAAGGGUUUAGUUGCCUCCCAAUGGGGGUUUUAGAUCAAAGAUUUUCGAGAUCUGGUGGUGGAACAAACAUAGGGGGAGGAUUGGUAACUUUUACCCCCAGGACCUAUCGUCAGAGUUAGUGUCAAAGUUUCGUGCUU